rnacentral:lncRNA from 1 species
UCUCCUGGAGUUCAUCGCUCAAUGCCUGCUGGUGGUGCGUGUUUUACUUUCCCCGAAAUAUCCGAGAGCUUUCCUUUCCAGUUGCAGAAAACACAUCUCAGGGGCUGAAGGUUAUCGGCUGCUUUUCCAAGAGCCCAGGAAGACAAGGGCUGAGUCGUGGGAUACAAGCAGCCAGCCCUCCAUGCGGCCCAUGGGUAGCACCUGCAGAGCACCAGGAGCAUCCUACCAGGCACCGGGGCAGCACCGGGGGUGAUCGUGGCACAGUGGGGUCAGGGGGACCCGAGCUGUGUCUUCUCGCUGAUUUGACUCCUGCAGGUCAAAAUUAGUGCCGCCAAGCACCCUGGUAAAGCAGGUAUUACCGGUCAUGUGCCAAGGCUGGCAGGUUUGAGUUUUUCAGUUGCGUGGUGGCUGUCACAAGUGUUCCCCCCCCGGCCACCGCUGUGUCCUCUGCGGCAGCUCUGCGAGCGCCCUGUCUGAGCAGUGGUAGACAAAACAGGCCGACUUUAUUGCCGAUGUAAAUCAGAGAAGCUCCGCUGGCUUCGUGGAGCACUGCAGAUUUAUGCCAGGAGCUGACCUGGCAUCUCUAUUUUCAAAACUAGGGCAGAUUGAAAUAUGCUGUUUUUCAAUAAUAUAUUCAGGUUAACAGGGCUUUUAUAUUUGAGCAAUUAAUCUUGCAUAGACCGAAAACCUCUUGGGACAACGUGCGAAGGUUGCUAAGAAGAGGAAAACAAACACAGUUGUGUAACUCAGCUCUCCCAGGUCUCUUCUUUCAUGAAAACAUAUUGCAGUGAUACAACAGUGACCUAAAAUCCACUAAUAAUGUUACUUUAAUAUACAGAUGCACAUCAAGAUACAAUAUAGAACUGAUUUUACUAAGAGGUAAUAUUACCUCAUCUUGUCUUACUGUAAAAUGAAUCAAAAGCAGAAAUAUUGAGACAUAAAUCUGUGGUAACAAAGGGAAAACAGUAUUGUGCUGGAGAAAGUCCUUCUGGUUUAUUGCAAGACUCUUCUGUUCCGUAGCAUGUGCACACACGUGUCGGUGUGCCUGCACGUGUGCCCGUGCCGUAUCUGAAAUCGGUCUGGGGCUCACCAAAGGCUCUCCCUGACCUGAUCCUUGUCUUUCACCACUCCCUCUCGUUGUCUCUUCUGUGCAUCCACCAGCAGCCCUACGACCAUCUGCCAGCAUCUUCAGCUCAUAAACACCGUAACAGAUGCGAUUCA